rnacentral:rRNA from 1 species
AAUCCAUAGGUUAAUGAGGCGAACCGGGGGAACUGAAACAUCUAAGUACCCCGAGGAAAAGAAAUCAACCGAGAUUCCCCCAGUAGCGGCGAGCGAACGGGGAGGAGCCCAGAGCCUGAAUCAGCAUGUGUGUUAGUGGAAGCGUCUGGAAAGGCGCGCGAUACAGGGUGACAGCCCCGUACACAAAAGCGCAUGUGCUGUGAGCUCGAUGAGUAGGGCGGGACACGUGGUAUCCUGUCUGAAUAUGGGGGGACCAUCCUCCAAGGCUAAAUACUCCUGACUGACCGAUAGUGAACCAGUACCGUGAGGGAAAGGCGAAAAGAACCCCGGCGAGGGGAGUGAAAAAGAACCUGAAACCGUGUACGUACAAGCAGUGGGAGCACCCUUCGGGGUGUGACUGCGUACCUUUUGUAUAAUGGGUCAGCGACUUAUAUUCUGUAGCAAGGUUAACCGUAUAGGGGAGCCGGAGGGAAACCGAGUCUUAAUUGGGCGUUAAGUUGCAGGGUAUAGACCCGAAACCCGGUGAUCUAGCCAUGGGCAGGUUGAAGGUUGGGUAACACUAACUGGAGGACCGAACCGACUAAUGUUGAAAAAUUAGCGGAUGACCUGUGGCUGGGGGUGAAAGGCCAAUCAAACCGGGAGAUAGCUGGUUCUCCCCGAAAGCUAUUUAGGUAGCGCCUCGUGAAUUCAUCUCCGGGGGUAGAGCACUGUUUCGGCUAGGGGGCCAUCCCGGCUUACCAACCCGAUGCAAACUGCGAAUACCGGAGAAUGUUAUCACGGGAGACACACGGCGGGUGCUAACGUCCGUCGUGAAGAGGGAAACAACCCAGACCGCCAGCUAAGGUCCCAAAGUCAUGGUUAAGUGGGAAACGAUGUGGGAAGGCCCAGACAGCCAGGAUGUUGGCUUAGAAGCAGCCAUCAUUUAAAGAAAGCGUAAUAGCUCACUGGUCGAGUCGGCCUGCGCGGAAGAUGUAACGGGGCUAAACCAUGCACCGAAGCUGCGGCAGCGAACGUAUCACCCAAGACAACUUUACGGAGUUGACGAUUGACGGAGCGAAGCGACGUCAAAGCGUUCAUUAAAGUCGAGUUGGCUUAGGGAUACGUUCGUUGGGUAGGGGAGCGUUCUGUAAGCCUGUGAAGGUGUGUCGUGAGGCAUGCUGGAGGUAUCAGAAGUGCGAAUGCUGACAUAAGUAACGAUAAAGCGGGUGAAAAGCCCGCUCGCCGGAAGACCAAGGGUUCCUGUCCAACGUUAAUCGGGGCAGGGUGAGUCGACCCCUAAGGCGAGGCCGAAAGGCGUAGUCGAUGGGAAACGGGUUAAUAUUCCCGUACUUGGUGUUACUGCGAAGGGGGGACGGAGAAGGCUAUGUUGGCCGGGCGACGGUUGUCCCGGUUUAAGCGUGUAGGUGUGUGUUCCAGGUAAAUCCGGUUCACUUUAACAC